UAUAUAGUUUUUAAAGGUGUGGGUUUUGUGAGUGUGAGGGGUGGAGAUGUUUAAAAGGUGUGGGUUUUGUGAGUGUGAGGGGUGGAGAUGUUUAAAAGGUGAGGGUUUUGUGAGUGUGAGGGGUGGAGAUGUUUAAAAGGUGUGGGUUUUGUGAGUGUGAGGGGUGGAGAUGUUUAAAAGGUGUGGGUUUUGUGAGUGUGAGGGGUGGAGAUGUUUAAAAGGUGUGGGUUUUGUGAGUGUGAGGGGUGGAGAUGUUUAAAAGGUGAGGGUUUUGUGAGUGUGAGGGGUGGAGAUGUUUAAAAGGUGAGGGUUUUGUGAGUGUGAGGGGUGGAGAUGUUUAAAAGGUGUGGGUUUUGUGAGUG